CUCGUAGAGGGGGGUAGAAUUCCAGGUGUAGCGGUGAAAUGCGUAGAGAUCUGGAGGAAUACCGGUGGCGAAGGCGGCCCCCUGGACGAAGACUGACGCUCAGGUGCGAAAGCGUGGGGAGCAAACAGGAUUAGAUACCCUGGUAGUCCACGCCGUAAACGAUGUCGACUUGGAGGUUGUGCCCUUGAGGCGUGGCUUCCGGAGCUAACGCGUUAAGUCGACCGCCUGGGGAGUACGGCCGCAAGGUUAAAACUCAAAUGAAUUGACGGGGGCCCGCACAAGCGGUGGAGCAUGUGGUUUAAUUCGAUGCAACGCGAAGAACC
rnacentral:rRNA from 1 species